rnacentral:lncRNA from 1 species
UUACGUUCUUUAAUUCGAAUUUUUACAGGUAUUCGUCGACGUAAAAAAUGUUAUAAUGAUUUUGAUUGUCCAAGAACUAUGUGCCCAUCAUAUUUGCUAGUUAAGUGUAUAGUAUAUAAUUGUAAAUGCUGUGUUAUAGGAACGUACGAAGAUUAAAAUCCCACAUGAUUCCGUAAAUGCCCAAAGAGCAUACAACACAUGCUAUAAUUAUAUUUAGUUUUUAGUUUUUUUUCCUUUUUCUAGUGUCAACAAUUUAUAGUUAUGGCU